GGCCUGAUGGUCUAGUAGUAUGAUUCCUUGUUAGGGUGCUGAUUUGUUCAUCUGAAUCGAGGAGGUCCCGGGUUCAAUUCCCGGUCAGGCCC